ACAGAGGGUGCAAACGUUGUUCGGAAUUACUGGGCGUAAAGCGAGUGUAGGCGGUCUGCUAAGUCGGGUGUGAAAGCCCUGGGCUCAACCCAGGAAGUGCACUCGAAACUGGCAGGCUAGAGUACUGGAGAGGUUGGUGGAAUUCUCGGUGUAGAGGUGAAAUUCGUAGAUAUCGAGAGGAACACCUGCGGCGAAGGCGGGUUGCUGGGCUGACACUGACGCUGAGGCGCGAAAGCUAGGGGAGCGAACGGGA
rnacentral:rRNA from 1 species